GCCCCGGUAGCUCAGUUGGAUAGAGCAGCUGCCUUCUAAGCAGCGGGUCGGGGGUUCAAAUCCCUCCCGGGGCGCCA
rnacentral:tRNA from 1 species